rnacentral:tRNA from 1 species
UUUUUUAUGGCCGAGUUCAAGCGAUAAAUUUUUAAUUUAUUUACAGAAAAUAAAUAUUUUCUUUUGCGAU